rnacentral:rRNA from 1 species
UACGGACGGGGCGAGCGUUGUUCGGAAUCAUUGGGCGUAAAGGGCGCGUAGGUGGUUUUGUAUGUCUACCGUGAAAGCGUACGGCUCAACCGUAUUUUGUCGGUAGAAACUGCAGGACUUGAGGCUGGGAGGGGCUGGCGGAAUUCCCUGUGUAGCGGUGAAAUGCGUAGAGAUGGGGGAGAACACUCGUGGCGAAGGCGGCCAGCUAGACCAGUUCUGACACUGAGGCGCGAUAGCGUGGGGAGCAAACAGG